GUCAUGGGGCACGCGGGCAGCUCUAGAUGAAGAACCCAGAAGUAGCACAAUGCUUGUCAUGAAAAGAUGCGGCAUCUGACUCCUACGGUCCACUAAACCAUUUCAGAAACUGGGAGCCCAGGACCUGCUGCCUCCGGCGUCCGUCUCUAGUUCUGGAGAUCUGAACCCGGGAAAGGUCCUGCUUACCCCACACGACCCAUCCCACUCCUGUGUUUCCCGUCUCUGGGGCUCCUGGAAUAAUUUCACAUCAGCAGACAUGUCUUCAUUGGUUUCUACUCUUGGUAUCUCUUGAUAGAAGAUUUGAUUUCCACGAGAGCUCGAAGCUGGGUCCUCCAUUCACAGAACACUUCCUGCCGGUCCAGAAGGAGUGGGGUCCUCCAUUCACAGAACACUUUCUGCCGGUCCAGAAGGAGUGGGGUCCUCCAUUCACAGAACACUUCCUGCCGGUCCAGAAGGAGUGGGGUCCUCCACUCACAGAACACUUCCUGCCGGUCCAGGAGUGGGGUCCUCCACUCACAGAACACUUCCUGCCGGUCCAGAAGGAGUGGGGUCCUCCAUUCACAGAACACUUCCUGCCGGUCCAGAAGGAGUGGCCGCUACACCAGAAUGCGGACAUUGACACCAAUAAUGCUCAGUAUCUUUGGAUACCUUCCAGUAACUGAAAGUCAACAGACAUUUCCCAAAGAAUCAAAUUUACUGUUUUCCUGAGACUCAAUCCCAAACACAGCUCAAAUAACAUGUCCCAGAGUCACCUGCCAAUCACACACACUAAGCCCACGGGGUCAGAAGACAGCACUGGCCCAUGCCCAUAUGCGUGUCCUAAGGCUACAAUUAGGGACUAGUAAUUUUUUUUAUCUUGUCUUUUGAGCUCCAGCCCCCUACAGUACUGGAAAGCCCUGGCACCUGCACAAAACGCCAUGCCCAGCUCUGCUGACUGGAGUCCACGUGCUUCCCUCUCGGCGCUGACUGACUGACACCACGUGCUUCCCUCCCAGCUUUGUUCUCUCCCUCUGUAAGUUUUAACUCUGGAAUAGAAAAGCAUAAAGAAAAAACUGAGAAUGGUUGUUUUCUCAGUUCUAGCCCAAACUGUGAAUAAACUAGUUUGCCCAUUUUGA